rnacentral:rRNA from 1 species
UACGGGGGGGGUAAGCGUUGUUCGGAAUUACUGGGCGUAAAGGGCUCGUAGGCGGCCAACUAAGUCAGACGUGAAAUCCCUCAGCUUAACUGGGGAACUGCGUCUGAUACUGGAUGGCUUGGAUUUGGGAGAGGGAUGCGGAAUUCCAGGUGUAGCGGUGAAAUGCGUAGAUAUCUGGAGGAACACCGGUGGCGAAGGCGGCAUCCUGGACCGAGAUUGACGCUGAUGCGCGAAAGCCAGGGGAGCAAACGGG